rnacentral:rRNA from 1 species
UUCGGCGGUCAUAGCGGAGGGGCAACACCUGAUCCCGUCUCGAUCUCAGUAGUUAAGCCCUCCAGCGUUUCGGGUGCGUACUAUAACCUUGGUUAUGGGAAGCCCGAAUCGCUGCCGGCC